AUCCUUUUCCAGUUCAUAAGCAUGAUGAUUGGGUGUUCAGACAUUUGUGUGAUAUGUAUUUCUCUUAGUCCUUGUUUUGGCAUUGGCACAUUACCAGUCUGAAG